AAACCAGCACCUCAAGUGGUCAGGAUGAUUAUUGGGCCUAGAGCAUCCGUAGCCGGCUCUGUAAGUUUUCGGUUAAAUCUGUACGCUUAACGUACAGGCUGCUGGGAAUACUGCAGAGCUAGGGAGUGGGAGAGGUAGACGGUACUCGGGAGGAAGUGGUAAAAUGCUUUGAUCUCUCGAUGACCACCUGUGGCGAAGGCGGUCUACCAGAACACGUUCGACGGUGAGGGAUGAAAGCUGGGGGAGCAAACCGGAUUAGAAACCCGAGUAGUCC
rnacentral:rRNA from 1 species